rnacentral:rRNA from 1 species
AUGGCGAUGGUGACGCUCCCGAUUACCUGUCACCUCCACCUUUUCCUCUUCCUCUCUAGUAGCAUCGUCAUCGUCGUGGUCGCCGGCGUCGCGGCCACAGAGAGAGUCCCAAAUCCAAACAACACCACCGCCGGCAGCACGUCCGCCUGCCCGUCGUACCGGUGCGGGCACGCGGUGGACAUCCGGUACCCGUUCUGGAUCGACGGCGGGAACGGCAGUUUGAACGGCUCCCACCACUGCGGGUACCCGAGCCUGCGGCUGGAGUGCCGGCGCGACACGCCGGUGCUGCGGCUCCCGUCGGGCGACUACGCGGUGACGCACAUCCUGUACGGCGACCGCACGGUGUCCCUGUUCGACCUGGGCGUCUUCUCCCGGUCCAACACGUGCCCGCUCGUGGGCCGCAACCUCACCCUCCCGGACGGCUCGCCGCUGUCGCUGACGGCGAGGGACGCCAACCUGACCUUCUUCAUCCACUGCUCCUUCAUGGGCAUCCCGGCGGCGCACCAGGUGGCGUGCCUGGAGGGCGACGGGCGGCACCACUCGUACGUCUUCCGGGACGGCGACGACCUCACGCCGUACGGCUACGCCGGGCUGUGCCAGGACGUCGUGGGAAUGCCGGUGCUCAGGAGGUCCCUGCUCGGCAGGACGGGCGCGGCAUCCAGCGGCCCGCUGGACGCCGUCGUGCCGGCGCUGAACAUGGGGUUCGAGCUGAGCUGGAGGCCGGAGGCGAUGGGGGAGUGCGGCGGCUGCGAGAAAUCCGGCGGCCUGUGCGGUCACCGUCGGCAUGCGGCGCGAGAUGCAUGGACGUUCACGUGCUUCAGGACGGCAACGACGACUUCUGCAUGGGGCGCACCCAAAUCUUCAGGGGGGAGUACAAGGAUGAAAACAAUUUUCAUAAUAGUUGGAGCAGUACUCGGUGCUGGUGCAAUCUUUCUGUUCGUCUUCUUUGUCUUGCACCAACGAAAGAAGAAGAAACAAGCUAUAGCUUCAAAUGAGUUCAUGCGAAGUGGAUCUUCAAUGACGACAUACAGUAAAGACCUUGAGCUGGGUGGUUCUCCUCAUAUCUUCACUUUCGAGGAACUCGAAGUGGCUACUGAUGGAUUUAGUGCUUCAAGGGAGCUUGGUGAUGGUGGCUUUGGAACUGUUUAUAAAGGAAAACUCAAGGAUGGGAGAGUAGUUGCGGUGAAACGCCUUUACAAGAACAACUACAGACGGGUUGAGCAGUUCCUGAAUGAGGUCGACAUCCUGUCCCGCCUGCUCCACCAGAACCUGGUCAUCCUAUAUGGCUGCACGUCGCGAAUGAGCCGUGACCUUCUCCUGGUGUACGAGUUCAUCGCAAAUGGGACUGUCGCAGACCAUCUUCACGGAUCUCGCUCGGCGGAACGAGGCCUCACGUGGCCUCUAAGACUGAACAUUGCCAUAGAAACAGCUGAAGCACUGGCCUACCUCCAUGCAGUCGAGAUCAUACAUCGGGAUGUGAAGACAACCAACAUAUUGCUUGACAACAGCUUUCAUGUCAAAGUUGCAGACUUUGGGUUGUCGCGCCUGUUCCCGCUCGAGGUCACCCAUGUCUCGACCGUUCCACAGGGCACACCUGGCUACGUCGACCCCGUGUACCACCAGUGCUACAAGCUGACCGACAAGAGCGACGUUUACAGCUUUGGCGUUGUGUUGGUGGAGCUGAUAUCCUCAAAGCCUGCUGUGGACAUGAGCAGGAGCCACAGUGAGAUCAACCUGGCCAACAUGGCUCUCAACAGGAUUCAGAACCAUGAAGUUGUUCAGCUGGUUGAUCCGGAGCUCGGCUACGACACCGACCCCGAAACGAAGAGGACGAUCGACCGCGUGGCUGAGGUGGCCUUCCAGUGCCUGCAGAUGGAGAGGGAUCUGAGGCCGUCGAUCAAGGAGGUGGUGGAGAUCCUGACCUGCGUCAGGGACGGAGACUGUCGGGCUAAGAGCAUGAAGAAGAAGGCGUCUCAGAAAGAGGACGCGCACUUGCUCACGGAGGGCCUGCAGUUUUCGCCUGACUCGGUCAUCCAUAGAUUCCAUAGCCAGUCAACGAACCACUCGGUAGCGUCGAAUGCUAGCGGGUUAUGA